AUUGAACGCUGGCGGCAUGCCUUACACAUGCAAGUCGAACGGCAGCGCGGACUUCGGUCUGGCGGCGAGUGGCGAACGGGUGAGUAAUACAUCGGAACGUACCCUGUUGUGGGGGAUAACUAGUCGAAAGAUUAGCUAAUACCGCAUACGACCCGAGGGUGAAAGGGGGGGACCGCAAGGCCUCACGCAGCAGGAGCGGCCGAUGUCUGAUUAGCUAGUUGGUGGGGUAAAGGCCCACCAAGGCGACGAUCAGUAGCUGGUCUGAGAGGACGAUCAGCCACACUGGGACUGAGACACGGCCCAGACUCCUACGGGAGGCAGCAGUGGGGAAUUUUGGACAAUGGGGGCAACCCUGAUCCAGCAAUGCCGCGUGUGUGAAGAAGGCCUUCGGGUUGUAAAGCACUUUUGUCCGGAAAGAAAUCGCGCUGGUUAAUACCCGGCGUGGAUGACGGUACCGGAAGAAUAAGCACCGGCUAACUACGUGCCAGCAGCCGCGGUAA
rnacentral:rRNA from 1 species